rnacentral:tRNA from 1 species
GAGCCCGUAGCUCAAUAGCUAGAGCCUUGGACUUCUGAUCCACGGUUCACGGGUUCA